rnacentral:rRNA from 1 species
CAGUCGCCGCGGUAAUACGAAGGGUGCAAGCGUUACUCGGAAUUACUGGGCGUAAAGCGUGCGUAGGUGGUGGUUUAAGUCCGUUGUGAAAGCCCUGGGCUCAACCUGGGAAUUGCAGCGGAUACUGGUUCACUAGAGUGUGGUAGAGGAUAGUGGAAUUUCCGGUGUAGCAGUGAAAUGCGUAGAGAUCGGAAGGAACAUCUGUGGCGAAGGCGACUAUCUGGGCCAUCACUGACACUGAGGCACGAAAGCGUGGGGAGCAAACAGGAUUAGAUACCCCUGUAGUCCCUGUCUCUUAUAA